rnacentral:rRNA from 1 species
UAUCAGCACCCCGAGUGGUCGGGACGUUUAUUGGGCCUAAAGCAUCCGUAGCCGGUUCUACAAGUCUUCCGUUAAAUCCACCUGCUUAACAGAUGGGCUGCGGAAGAUACUAUGGAGCUAGGAGGCGGGAGAGGCAAGCGGUACUCGAUGGGUAGGGGUAAAAUCCGUUGAUCCAUUGAAGACCACCAGUGGCGAAGGCGGCUUGCCAGAACGCGCUCGACGGUGAGGGAUGAAAGCUGGGGGAGCAAACCGG